GACGAACCGUGCGAACGUUGUUCGGAAUCACUGGGCUUAAAGGGCGCGUAGGUGGUUGAUCAAGUCUGGGGUGAAAUCUUUCGGCUUAACCGGGAGGGUGCGGCGGAAACUGGGUUGCUGGAGUGCGGGAGAGGUAAGCGGAAUUCCCGGUGUAGCGGUGAAAUGCGCAGAUAUCGGGGAGGAACACCCAAUGGCGAAGGCGGCUCACUGGCCCGAUACUGACGCUGAGGCACGAAAGCGUGGGGAGCAAACAGGG
rnacentral:rRNA from 1 species